rnacentral:rRNA from 1 species
UACGUAGGUGGCAAGCGUUGUCCGGAAUUAUUGGGCGUAAAGCGCGCGCAGGCGGUUCUUUAAGUCUGAUGUGAAAGCCCACGGCUCAACCGUGGAGGGUCAUUGGAAACUGGAGAACUUGAGUACAGAGGAGGAAAGCGGAAUUCCACGUGUAGCGGUGAAAUGCGUAGAGAUGUGGAGGAACACCAGUGGCGAAGGCGGCUUUCUGGUCUGUAACUGACGCUGAGGCGCGAAAGCGUGGGGAGCAAACAGG